AUGAGAAUGUUCAAGGAUGUUCUAGUGCCUAGUGCCAAGUCUAAGGACCUCAGGUUGUGCUUUCAGGAUACAUCUCAGUGACGGAGCUCAUUUCCCAUCCCUCAGAGAAUCUGAGAGUCUGACUUGAAAGAGCAGAUGGAUCUGGGCAUCCAACGGAGUACCAGGUAUGCAGAAGGUACUCAAAAAUGAACCCUGCCUCCUGUGUCCACAGUUUAUCACAUAGACUGCUCUAUAGUGCUGGAAAAGACAACUACAUUUAUGGUCAAGGGGAGCCUUUAGGUUGAAACAGAGAGGAAUAAGAGGUACUCCCAGGGAGUAGCACUCCUUCUGUCUUUCCUCCCCCAGCUCUGUGUGCCCCGGGGCAAGCUGCCAGCCAGGUAGCAACGGUGCAUCUUUCUUAUGCCACCAGCAGAAGGACAAGAACUGUGGACUCAGUCUGUUUGUAAGAGCGAUAAAGGAUCUGGGCAGGGAGGCAUGCUCGUUACUUGCUCAUUUUUGAUGGGACAGCAUAAAGUGGGGUCAUUUCUCUGCGCUCCUUUGGGGUUAUCAAAGUGCUCUCGGCAGGUGACUCCAAUCGCAAGCUGGGGGACACUGAGCAGCUAUAAAGCAGGGCCUGGCCUCUCCACCUUGGGAACUGGGGGAGUAAGAGCUGGGAGGCCUUGGCAGCUGCCAUCUCCUCAUCUGGCUCUACUCUGUUUCCAUUUGCUUCUUUCACGAAGCACAACUUCUCAGGAAAUGUAGAGAAAAGGUUGGGGAGGAAAUGAUUGCAACAACCACUGGGCCGAGAUGGAUUACGAUCGUGACUAUAGUCUCAGUUUACUAUUUAUUAGCUGCCUAAUCUGAACUCAAUCAUCCAAUCUCCCUUGAGCUUAUCUGUAAAAUAAAUACUAUUCAA